AAAUUGAAGAGUUUGAUCAUGGCUCAGAUUGAACGCUGGCGGCAGGCCUAACACAUGCAAGUCGAACGGUAACAGGAAGCAGCUUGCUGCUUCGCUGACGAGUGGCGGACGGGUGAGUAAUGUCUGGGAAACUGCCUGAUGGAGGGGGAUAACUACUGGAAACGGUGGCUAAUACCGCAUAACGUCGCAAGACCAAAGAGGGGGACCUUCGGGCCUCUUGCCAUCAGAUGUGCCCAGAUGGGAUUAGCUUGUU
rnacentral:rRNA from 11 species